rnacentral:rRNA from 2 species
CCUGACUCUGGGAUAAGCGGUGGAAACGCCGUCUAAUACCGGAUACGACCUGCCAUCUCAUGGUGGUGGGUGGAAAGUUUUUCGGUCAGGGAUGGGCUCGCGGCCUAUCAGCUUGUUGGUGGGGUAACGGCCUACCAAGGCGAUUACGGGUAGCCGGCCUGAGAGGGCGACCGGCCACACUGGGACUGAGACACGGCCCAGACUCCUGCGGGAGGCAGCAGUGGGGAAUAUUGCGCAAUGGGCGAAAGCCUGACGCAGCGACGCCGCGUGGGGGAUGACGGCCUUCGGGUUGUAAACCUCUUUUACCACCAACGCAGGCUCCCAGUUCUCUGGGGGUUGACGUUUUUGUGGGGAAUAAGGACCGGCUAACUACGUGCCAGCAGCCGCGGUAAUACGUAGGGUCCGAGCGUUGUCCGGAAUUAUUGGGCGUAAAGAGCUCGUAGGCGGCGUGUCGCGUCUGCUGUGAAAGACCGGGGCUUAACUCCGGUUCUGCAGUGGAUACGGGCAUG